rnacentral:rRNA from 1 species
UUAGGAAUCUUCCCCAAUGGGCGAAAGCCUGAGGGAGCGACGCCGCGUGAGGGAUGAAGGCCUUUGGGUUGUAAACCUCUAAACGAAGGACGAAAGCCCCGCAAGGGGGAUGACGGUACUUCGGUAAUAGCACCGGCUAACUCCGUGCCAGCAGCCGCGGUAAUACGGAGGGUGCGAGCGUUACCCGGAAUCACUGGGCGUAAAGGGCCUGUAGGCGGUUCACUAAGUCUGGCUUUAAAGACCGGAGCUCAACUCCGGGCCUGGGUUGGAUACUGGUGAGCUUGACGGCUGGAGGGGAGGGUGGAAUUCUCGGUGUAGCGGUGGAAUGCGUAGAUACCGAGAGGAACACCAGUGGCGAAGGCGGCCCUCUGGACAGUGCGUGACGCUGAGGCGCGAAAGUGUGGGGGAGCGAACCGGAUUAGAUACCCGGGUAGUCCACACCUUAAAACGAUGUGUGUUGGGUGCUUGCCCGUUGGGGUGGGUGCCGAAGCUAACGCGAUAAACACACCGCCUGGGAAGUACGGCCGCAAGGUUGAAACUCAAAUGAAUUGACGGGGUCAUAGCUGUUUCCU